AGGUCAGUAGUUCAACUGGGUAGAGCAGCGGUCUCCAAAACCGCAAGUUGGGGGUUCGAGUCCCCCCUGGCCUG
rnacentral:tRNA from 1 species